rnacentral:lncRNA from 1 species
CCUCUCCUCUUCUCUCUUUAGAAGGUAUCUCUCCUCUCCUCUUCUCUCUUUAGAAGGUAUCUCUCUCCUCUCCUCUCUUUAGAAGGUAUCUCUCUCCUCGUCUCUCUUUAUAAGGUAUCUCUCUCCUCUCCUCUCUUUAUAAGGUAUCUCUCUUUUUUUCUUCUCUCUUUAUAAGGUAUCUCUCUCCUCUUCUCUCUUUAUAAGGUAUCUCUCUCCUCUCCUCUCUUUAGAAGGUAUCUCUCUCCUCUCCUCUCUUUAGAAGGUAUCUCUCUCCUCUUCUCUCUUUAUAAGGUAUCUCUCUCCUCUCCUCUCUUUAGAAGGUAUCUCUCUCCUCUCCUCUCUUUAGAAGGUAUCUCUCUCCUCUCCUCUCUUUAGAAGGUAUCUCUCUCCUCUUCUCUCUUUAGAAGGUAUCUCUCUCCUCUUCUCUUUUUAGAAGGUAUCUCUCUCCUCUCCUCUCCUCUCUUUAGAAGGUAUCUCUCUCCUCUUCUCUCUUUAGAAGGUAUCUCUCUCCUCUUCUCUCUUUAGAAGGUAUCUCUCUCCUCUUCUCUCUUUAUAAGGUAUCUCUCUCCUCUCCUCUUCUCUCUUUAUAAGGUAUCUCUCUCCUCUUCUCUCUUUAGAAGGUAUCUCUCUCCUCUUCUCUCUUUAGAAGGUAUCUCUCUCCUCUCCUCUCUUUAGAAGGUAUCUCUCUCCUCUUC